rnacentral:rRNA from 1 species
UACGAAGGGGGCAAGCGUUGUUCGGAAUUACUGGGCGUAAAGGGCGCGUAGGCGGCGCAUCAAGUCAGGCGUGAAAGCCCCGGGCUCAACCCGGGAAUUGCGCUUGAGACUGGUGUGCUCGAGUCCGGGAGAGGUAAGCGGAAUUCCGAGUGUAGAGGUGAAAUUCGUAGAUAUUCGGAAGAACACCAGUGGCGAAGGCGGCUUACUGGACCGGUACUGACGCUAAGGCGCGAAAGCGUGGGGAGCAAACAGG